GCGUCUGUAGCCUAGUUGGUAAAGGCAGCACUCUAGUAUGUGUCUCAGCAUUGCUGAGGUUGUGAGUUCGACUCUCACCAGACACA
rnacentral:tRNA from 2 species